UUCUUCUUCGUCUCGGCUUCUCCAACUGCUGGCCCUCCUUCUGUUGGCUCCUCGCACGCCCCGUCGCCGUGGCCGACGAAUAUGCCCGCCAUAGCCGGCACGGCGGGGAGCUCCCAGAUGGGCCUGAGGCUGCCCAUGAAUUCCACCGCAAGGUGGCCCCUCUCACCGCUGGACGGCAGCCUGAUAUUUUCUAACGGCAACGUCCGCCGUUGGCGACGAACAGGCCCUCCACGGCCGGCGCGCCUCGACCUUCCUGUUGGGGCGGACCCAUGAAUUCCACCGCCGGGGAGGAGAACUGCAGUGAUUCCUCCCUUUUCCCUCUCUUCAUGUGCCAUAUUUUGCUUCUUUUUGAACUCUCGAAGUCUCGAUCUGUUUUGGUUCAAUGAUGUUUUCCUCUAAUUUUGAUUCUACUGAUUAUGGUUUUCCUGUGCUUUUUUAGGUUCAGCUUGGCUGCUGAACGAAAGUUGCAUUGCUGCAAGUACCAUGCAGGCGUAGACAAGGUGAUGUCCGCACAGGCAAAUAUCUUCCAUGAGUUGUAAUGUGUCUCCCUCUCUCCCCUUAUUUCUUUCAUUUGAUUUCAGAGCGCUACAUUGAUUCUCCCCGUAUUUGUGCUGUUUAAACAGGGACACUUUUUUUUUCCAUAUAUGCAUGCUGUGUGUUCGACGAAAUGCCUACUACAAAUACGGUGGGUAAGGAAAAUAGAACAACACACGUUUGAUAACUCAAGUCUGUUGAUAUUCGAAGUAGAUUGCAGAAGCCCUACGUCGUGUUCAUUCUUCUUUGGCAUGGAGAUAUUCUUUUAUAAUGUUUGCCUUGGCAUUCUCUUGAUGAUUUUAUAAUAUACAGCCAAAGCUGAUCUUCUUUAUAUAAUUUGUUCUUUCAUGAGCUUAUCCAUUUAUAUUUUUGUAUUUUAUGAAAGGUCGAUGAGGCUUCUUCUCCAAUUGGGUUUUCUCUUUUUGGCAAAUCAUUAUCUGAAAUAGUCAGCUGCUAUACACAGAUUUUAUAUCAAUCUACCUAGGUAGUUCAUCCAUGGUCUUAUAUCAUUUCUUACUGAAUACAAUACUUGAAACUAGAGUUCUUGGUAGGUAGUUCAUCCAAUAUGGGUGAUGCUGCCCAUGAGCGGGUCUGUUGUCCAUUCAGUGGCUGGUGAUUUAGGUGGAUUGUCUUCGCCUGUUGCAUAUGGUCCUCAGGUUUCUGACCCCACUCAUUCUGAUGCUCCUGCUGUGGUCGAUCUUGCCAUAGCAGUUGAUCCAUUGUUUCACAUUUUGUGCUUUUUCUGCUUUUGAUGUACCUCGGUAUCUGUUUUACUUUUAUUGGUUGUUUUCUGAUUCUUCUUUGUUUUUGGUUUCAAUAUCUUCUACUCCUUUCACAACUUCUCACAUGCCUGUAGCAAAUCGUCGGCGGCGUUUGGAUGUGCGUCUACAUACUGCUUCUGUAGGAGCAGGUUGUGCUUCCGGUUUAUUGAUUAUAGAAUCUGCAAUUUGCUGCAAUGAAAAGACAUUAUCAGAAAGUUAAGAUCUAUGAUGUGAUAUAACUACACUUUGGGACUAUGUACAUCCAAAUAUACUAUGUUCUGGAUCUUUUGAGAUAAACUAGAUAUAACCAUAGUAACACACCAUUCGUACCCAGUUCUAACAGACCAUUGCUAAUUUGGUUUCAUUCCUCAUGUUACUCAUCAGCAUUAGUAUACCAUCAAGGAAAUAUCAUAAGAGCUCACAGUGGUCUAUAUUAGAAGCUCAAAGUAGUGCCGAUUAUUCUAAAUUAGCUAAUGCAGCCCCUUAGAUUUCUUUGUUUUUUGUAUUUUUCCAGUCAAUGUGUUGAAGACCAUCUUCAGGCUGUCCCCUGUACUUCCUGUUCCUAUAUUGCUGUUUACCAUUUUGAUUAGUUUGCUUAGUGAUGAUCCAGCGUCUGUGUGUAAUUUAUUUUUACAACUCUUUGGUGUUCAUAUAUUCAUCAGGCUGCCAAAGAGAAGCUUUAGUACAAUGAGCAUACUGGAAGUAGAA